UGUCAAUGUCCAGCAGUUGAAGACUUGUUGUUUUUCUCUGGUUUCUACAGCAGGCUAUGUGUGUGCUGAGUAGUAGGAGAGGAAUGAAUAGGGACCAAUGGGGGGUUCUGAUCAGCAGCCUGGGGCUCCCCUGCCGAGGAGCUCUGGGAUUAGGGCUAAACCCUGCCCUGCCAGAUGGGCACCAGCACCACAUCAAUCCCACCCACUACCACCACCACCAACCUUAGACCUCAGGGACAGGCUGAGCCCUGCUCCCCCUGGCCUGCACUGGGCUCUGUGGACCGGACAAUAGGGAGAUGGAACCCCUUGGGGAGCUCAGAGGGUAUGGUUCUCCUCAACAGGGAGUUGACCUGGAGGUUAGGAUCCUCAUCAUGACAACCAAGAGGGACUUGACCUCAGUGACCCCUAGAUGCUUCUGGCACGACCCCAAUAACCUGUCGAAGCUAGUUUGCUCCACUUACCAAGGAGUUAUUAAAUCAAAGACCAACACAGCCUCUGGUGGAUCUGCCCAAUCUGAACAGCAGCCAAUGGCUGAAGUACACAGAGACUCCAUGGUUUGGUUACCUCUGGGGGAUCAGCCAUCAGUAGACUAUAGAGGCCCAGUUCCAACAGAUCUGAAUACCCCAGGCAACUGACUGAGGGGAACAGACUGUAAACGGGUUCAACUAGGUGGUGCUGGAGAAGUGUGAGGGCUCCCAAAUGCCUAUUUAUUGAACUUCAUUGAUUGGUUGUCUUUCAGCACAGAUG
rnacentral:lncRNA from 1 species